rnacentral:rRNA from 1 species
AAAAAUCUGAUCUGCCCAAUGAUGAAAAAUUAAAUGGCCGCGGUAUAUUGACCGUGCGAAGGUAGCAUAAUCAUUUGCUUUUUAAUUGAAGGCUGGAAUGAAUGGUUGGACGAAAAAAGUCUGUCUUAGUUUUAGUUUUUAAAGUUUACUUUUUAGUGAAAAGGCUAAAAUUUUACUAAGGGACGAGAAGACCCUAUUAAGCUUUAUUUUUGUUAUUUUUUAUUAUAUUUUUCAUUAUAAAAAAUAAGAGGAAUUUUACUGGGGCGGUAGAGAAAGAAAAAAAUCUUUUUUUAGAAGUUAAAACAUUUAUGUAAAUUUUUGAUCCAUUUUUAAUGAUAAUAAGAAAGAGUUACUAUAGGGAUAACAGCGUAAUUUUUUCGGAGAGUUCAUAUCGGCGAAGAAGUUUGCGACCUCGAUGUUGAAUUAAAGAGUCAAUAGGGCGGAGAAGUUCUAAAUGAGGGUCUGUUC